rnacentral:lncRNA from 1 species
AGAUACGUAUAUAGUGAUGUGCCAAGACAUUAAGCAGGGGAAAAUAUAUUUUUACCCAAACAUUGUUUUGUGUGCCCUUUUGUGAGUUCUUUUUAGUCACUGCUUGAUAUCCAUAUGUACAUACACGUGCUUAUUAUAUUGGAUAAAUUAAGUAGGGAUGGCAGUGUCUCACGCUCUCUUGCCUUGCGUGGUGGACUUCAGAUGCUGCUCAACGGGCAGCUCCAGCUUCUCCAAGACACUUUGCCAUGUCGUGUCCUGCAGCUCACGUAUGGUCCCCACCCCUUUCCCUCCAUUCCUGUCCCAGCCUGCCCUGUGGAUUCACGUGUCUGGGUGCCCAGCAGAGGUAUUCUCUUCUCUGACCCGUGCCUGCGGUGCCCACGCUGCCACUGUGCCUCCAGCUGUGCUCAGUGAUAUCAUCCCUCUAACUGACACAUCGCUGUUCUUUCACAGCUUGUUAUAGAGAAGCACUUUUUUUUUUAAGGUUUUGAGAACCAAAUUUGAAUCUGAACCUUUCUUUUUUCUCUUCUGUAGCUUCUUCUUUAUGUAACCAUCCUGUUGACAAGCCCUACUCUCUCCUAAUGGACAUAGAGCAUUAGAAGAGCAGGAGCUGUCUGUUCACACGUGUUGGGGAAGAGUUACCUCAUUUCCACCAUCGCCUCCCGUUCUUUUAAAGUCUGGGUCAAAUAUUGCACUGCUGUUUGUAUUUGUCAAUGUUUGUUUACAAACCACUGCCCACAGUGGCUACCGAAGUGACUUCACUACCAAAAAUAGUUAAUAAUAUUAAUUAAAAGGAAAUAGAAUGAAACAGAAAACUUGGGCCCAGACCCAAGGUCUUGUGCCGGAAUCCUCUUGCUUAGCUGUCAUGUUCUUGAUGCUGCUGAUCCAAGAACUCAUGGACCCUAACCUGAGGUGGACCCACCUCCAGGGCAAACUUGAUCUCAUGGUAACUCCCGACCUCUCUGUCCCAUGAGCAACAUUCUGAACAGCCCCAUCAGGAUCCUCACUACCAUCAGGUCAUAAGAUCUGGGCAACGUGUUCCUUCCUUCUGUUAGUUUUGUGGGCUUGUGGGUUGUUUUGGUGUUUGGGAUUUUUUUUUUUUUUUUAACAUUUGAUAUUGCAUGAACAGAGAUGGCUGCAAUUUUUUCCUUUGGAGUGUCCUAUUGAUACAAUGUUUUUAUUUUUCAGCUGACCAUCUGCCUCUUGAGAAAGAGAAGUGGGCAUCCUUCCUUUAAAUUCAGGAACCAUUGUUUUAUUUGACCCUUUUUCUGUUACCUGCAUCUCUUAUACAAGUUGUUUGGGAUUGGGAUUCUGCUUUGGGAGUUUUUUUUGGGGAAAAAAUUCUAUAGUUAGUUUUGUUUUUUGUAUUGGUUGUUCAAACUUACUUUUGGUAUCAAAAUUAUGCUAGUUUUAAGCUCACUUCAAGGGGAAAUAUGAGUGAAGUUUAAGUCACAAAAUUCUGUUUAAUAUGUUCUCUUCAUCUUAGACAAAACUAAAAAAAAAAAAUCAUCCCCUUUUUUGUUACUAGGGUUUUUGAUCUAUGGGUCUUAAUCAUGUUUAAAAUGAGUAGAUGACUUUUCUGCCUCUGGGGCUCAAUUUAUAUUUAAAGAUACCUUAAAGUGAUUUUUCUGAUCCAUUCCUGCCUUUUUAUUUGUUGUGAAGCUCUGCUUUACCUUGUGUCCAUGGUUUUUCACCAGGACCCGUGUGUCCUGCACCAUGAGAAAUGAACCCCACACAAGCACAUUCCAGCUCCCUCCCACAUGACAGCAUCGUUAACAAGGGCUGAUUGACAGUGUCUUCUCAGAGUGACCCAGAGGUUUUUGCCACACUGUUUGCAAAAUAUCUGCUGGUCAUGAAAGCACUGGAUCACUUCAGAUACACCCACAUCCAAACACACACUUUUGCCAUUUGCGU